AGCUCUGAGCCGACACCGAGCAGCCCACUGCCAACGCUGCUGCCACCUUCUCUCCCCUAGGCGUCGGCGGGCAGGAACCUGCAGAGGUGCUGCCGUUUCUGGCCUUCAAUUUGCUUCCUGUUGGUAAAACUGAGCAGGUGACAUCACUACAGACAGUUCUGUGCAGACAGGUGUGUGGGCUGAGAAAUAUGACACUAAUACCUCCCCAGAUACUAGACCAUGGAAACAUGCACGUGGGUUAAAUGGAGUGAAACAGCCCGUCCCAACACAGGAAAAAUCUCCAGGGUGUGUAGUGAGUAGUGAGUGCACAAUAAAUAUUUACCAUUGUUAAAUGAAUGUUUUCUGCAUCUCAUAAUAACUAAAGUUCUCUGUUCAGUCUAUUGACUGUAUAUUUAGUGAAGGGCCAGAGAGUGAAAG